UGCAACAACGUAUCAAAAGUAGUUGUUACAGUUGACAGCACUGUCAACUGUAACAACUACUUUUGAUACGUUGUUGCA